UACGUAGGGACCAAGCGUUGUUCGGAUUUACUGGGCGUAAAGGGCGCGGAGGCGGCCUGAUCAGUCGGGGGUGAAAGCCUGUGGCUCAACCACAGAAUGGCCUUCGAUACUGUCGGGCUUGAGACCGGAAGAGGUAAGUGGAACUGCGAGUGUAGAGGUGAAAUUCGUAGAUAUUCGCAAGAACACCAGUGGCGAAGGCGGCUUACUGGUCCGGAUCUGACGCUGAGGCGCGAAAGCGUGGGGAGCAAACAGG
rnacentral:rRNA from 1 species